AUUGGACGCUGGCGGCAUGCCUUACACAUGCAAGUCGAACGGCAGCACGGGAGCAAUCCUGGUGGCGAGUGGCGAACGGGUGAGUAAAGUAUCGGAACGUGCCCAGUCGUGGGGGAUAACGUAGCGAAAGUUACGCUAAUACCGCAUACGAUCUAUGGAUGAAAGCGGGGGAUCGCAAGACCUCGCGCGAUUGGAGCGGCCGAUAUCAGAUUAGGUAGUUGGUGGGGUAAAGGCUCACCAAGCCGACGACCUGUAGCUGGUCUGAGAGGACGACCAGCCACACUGGGACUGAGACACGGCCCAGACUCCUACGGGAGGCAGCAGUGGGGAAUUUUGGGCAAUGGGCGAAAGCCUGAUUCAGCCAUGCCGCGUGCAGGAUGAAGGCCUUCGGGUUGUAAACUGCUUUUGUACGGAACGAAAAGGUUUGGGCUAAUAAGCUGAGCUCAUGACGGUACCGUAAGAAUAAGCACCGGCUAACUACGUGCCAGCCGCCGCAGUAA
rnacentral:rRNA from 1 species